AUGUUCAUGCAGAUAAUGAAAAUGACUUUUAUGUCUCACGAUGCUGCGUAUGAUUUCUACAACAGCUAUGCUAGAGAUAAUGGUUUCAGCAUUAGAAAGAAUAAGGUCAGGUAUAGCAAAACCGAGUCACAUCAUAUGCGUUAUAGGCGGUUUGUUUGUUCUAGACAAGGAAAACGUGACAACAAGUUGCUAACCGAGGAAGGACAUAGCCGUAGGCUCAGAGCCCAGAUACGCUGCUUUUGCGAAGUGCACCUGACUGUCAAGCUUGACCAAAAGCGUGGGGUUUGGUAUGUUGAAAGUUUUGAGAACAAGCAUAGCCAUAUGUUGGCAGGACCGGACGAGGUACCUUUUCUUUGGUCCCACAGAAAAAUCAAAGAGUACCAGAAGCAUGAGAUAAUGUCCAUGGGAGCUGCAGGGAUUAGAAUUCACGACAUGAUGGAUUCCUUCAUCAGCAAACAUGUAUGGUACGGCGGUCUUGGUUUUACCAGGCGUGAAAUAUAUAGCCUUUGUGCCAGGGAGAAGAGGAAGCUGCUUUCAAAAGGUGAUGCUGCCACAGCCAUAGGCAUCAUGGCCAGUAGGAAACAGAGGGAUUCUAGCUUCUUUUUCGAGUACAUGCUAGAUAAGGAAUGA
rnacentral:rRNA from 1 species